UAGGGAAUCUUCCGCAAUGGGCGAAAGCCUGACGGAGCAACGCCGCGUGAGUGAUGAAGGUCUUCGGAUCGUAAAACUCUGUUAUUAGGGAAGAACAAAUGUGUAAGUAACUAUGCACGUCUUGACGGUACCUAAUCAGAAAGCCACGGCUAACUACGUGCCAGCAGCCGCGGUAAUACGUAGGUGGCAAGCGUUAUCCGGAAUUAUUGGGCGUAAAGCGCGCGUAGGCGGUUUUUUAAGUCUGAUGUAAAAGCCCACGGCUCAACCGGGGGGGGUCAUUGGAAACUGGAAAACUUGAGUGCAGAAGAAGAAAAUGGAAUUCCAUUUGUGGCGGUGAAAUGCGCAGAGAUAUAGAGGAACACCAGUGGCGAGGGAGACUUUCUAGUCUGUAACUGACGCUGAUGUGCGAAAGCGUGGAGAUCAAACAGG
rnacentral:rRNA from 1 species